rnacentral:lncRNA from 1 species
AGGCUUAUUAACUCGUGAAGAGUUUAAAAAGCCUGUUCCUGGUAAAUCCCUUCUGGAUGCAAGUCCUUUGAAAACUUUUUUGAGUUAAGACGAGGAUAAACUUAAUGAAUCCAUACUGUGAGCGGAUAGGGAAACUGAUAAAAAAGCUGGCGAUAUUUUGUGCCUGACUCAAAAUAUUUUUCACUGGAAGAAUUGAACACGCUUUGGCAACAAUAAGGUUUAAACGAUGACUGGAGUAAUGAACAUGCAACGCCUUCGGGUUUUUCUCUAAUAUUCUCCCAGAAAUACCUUUUUCCUGGCUGGACACAGCACUAGCACCGUCAUAUCCCUGGCCUCGACAAUUUUGAACGGAAGCCCGACAUCUUGAAGUGUACUUUGACUAAUGAACGGAAUCAAAUCCAAAGGCGAAACAGUUCGGUAUACAAAUGAAAAUGUUCUUGAAUCAUGUAAAACUUCAAAUUUAUUCAAGAAUGUAUUAAAUUAUCCAGAAAGUAUAAGCU